UACGUAGGGGGCUAGCGUUGUCCGGAAUCAUUGGGCGUAAAGCGCGCGUAGGCGGCCCGGUAAGUCCGCUGUAAAAGUCCAGGGCUCAACCCUGGAAAGCCGGUGGAUACUGUCGGGCUCGAGUCCGGAAGAGGCGAGUGGAAUUCCGAGUGUAGAGGUGAAAUUCGUAGAUAUUCGGAGGAACACCAGUGGCGAAGGCGGCUCACUGGCUCGAUACUGACGCUGAGGAGCGAAAGCGUGGGGAGCGAACAGG
rnacentral:rRNA from 1 species